rnacentral:lncRNA from 1 species
AAGAAGAAUACGACUCUAUCUAACUGUAACUCAAGUCUAUGAAGCCUUUAAUGUAGUAUUGAAACAUUGACUGUUCGUAAAUACUAAAAGACUACAAAGUAAUGAUAAUACCCGAAGUAACUAGGGCUCACCAAAUAGCUGGUACAAUAAUCCUAGCUCUCUGAGUCGUCAACCUGUAAAUCAUUACAUGUAUCGCUUGAUGCAAGCCCCGGGCGAAAGGGACACUAGUAUUUUAAAUUGCACCGAUAUGUAAAACAACUGAAUGAAAAAACUAUAAAUACUGAAAGUGAACCUGAGCUAAUAACUGAUAACAAAACUAAUAACUGCUGAAACUGAAACUGAAAUGAUAACUGAAAAUUAAUAACUAAAAUGGUAAUUGAUAACUGACAACCGCCCAAAGGAAGUAAGGAUAUGAAUACUCCCUCUUCUGAAUGAUGAAUCACCUAUUUAUCUGAAUAAACUAUAGAGUAUCUAAAACAUAACAUUAAUACUUAUUUAACAUGUUCACACCUAAUCCAAAUUUACGAAGUGUUAAAUUAUCUUCUCAUUGGGAUCAUUCGUCCUCAAAUGAUUUUCCUGACUGUAACUCCGGCUAACUUGGGACCUUAAACGGGCUUGAUGGAAACUGUGAACACUGAACUUUCAUAAACAGUUGCAUACUAAAUUGAAUGAAUACAUGAUUACUGAACCGCUGAGAUA